AAAUUGAAGAGUUUGAUCAUGGCUCAGAUUGAACGCUGGCGGCAGGCCUAACACAUGCAAGUCGAACGGUAACAGGAAGCAGCUUGCUGCUUUGCUGACGAGUGGCGGACGGGUGAUUAAUGUCUGGGAAACUGCCUGAUGGAGGGGGAUAACUACUGCAAACGGUGGCUAAUACCGCAUAAUGUCGCAAGA
rnacentral:rRNA from 1 species